rnacentral:rRNA from 1 species
UACGGAGGGAGCUAGCGUUGUUCGGAAUUACUGGGCGUAAAGCGUACGUAGGCGGUUAUUCAAGUCAGAGGUGAAAGCCCGGGGCUCAACCCCGGAACUGCCUUUGAAACUAGAUAGCUAGAAUCUUGGAGAGGUCAGUGGAAUUCCGAGUGUAGAGGUGAAAUUCGUAGAUAUUCGGAAGAACACCAGUGGCGAAGGCGGCUCACUGGCCCGGUACUGACGCUGAGGUGCGAAAGCGUGGGGAGCAAACAGG